CCCCCCGGCCCUGUCAGCCGCCCCCCCCAUCUCCUGUCCCCCUGCGGAAACGGAGGAGCGUCUCCGAAAGCGGUCCCGGUGCCGUUAGGCCCCCUCAGGGCCGAGGGCGCAGCGAGGUGGGGCGUUCUGCGGGCAGCUGCGCCGGCUGGAGGGGCGGCUCUUCCCCCACCGCGGCGGUUUGCUGCCUUGCCCCUGCCAGGGUUACCGCCCCCGCGGCUCUGUGUUGCUUCAGGCACGGGGACGGCUUUCCUGAGGGUUCGCGGUGCCUCCGCGACUAAGGCGGGGUAGGAGAGCGCUCAGGUCAGCCUGGAGCCUGAGCCUGUCAUCUCUGAGCCUGAUCACAGCAGUAACCUCUGUAGAAGUCGUUCUUGAAGCCUGGUGUCCUUUGUUUCCGUACUUAACCAGGUCUCCAGGGAGUGCUGCAUCGAGUGAUUUCUCUCUGUGUGAGGGAGAAGGAUGAGCUUUCUCCCUGCAGCCUGAGAUGCAAGGACCAGCUUAUGUAGAACAUGGAGGAAGAAGCACCAGAAAGAGAAGGGAAGAAUUUGUCAGAAGGCUCAGAAAGUCAUUCUUACCUGCCUGACUGGAGUGGUAACUACAUUUAUGAUGCCGUGCAAAGAAGAAUAUUUCAAUGGAACGGUAGUUUAAUUUUAUAAGUAUAGAAUUGUUUUAUCAUGAAACGAAAUGUAUUUAUAUAUAUAGAUAGAUAGAUACUCUAAUCAUAAAAUUGUUGACCCUAAAACCUAUAUAUUGUUAAAGCUUAGCAGCUUAUGUAACAUUUUAAAUUCCAUUCAUUUAUUAAUUGAAGAUUUUUUAGCUUAUUGUACAGGGUGGUUAUAUUAAUUAUUCUGUGCAUUGCCGUGGCACUGUAGACAUAAGCUGUGCUAUGAGGACUGUUUCCAGUUUCUUAUGACCACGUCUAAAUUUUGGUGGAAGAUGUGGGUUUUUGGCCUCUGUCUCAAGGUUCUGUCACAAGAUUCUGUCCUCUCUGCAGUCCCAAGUGCACCUUUCUAGCUGAUGAUUUUGAGCUAAGAAGAUACUUUAGAGUAGCUACUUGAGUAACUUACAAUUGGGUACCAUUGGCUGUUGGGCUGCAGCAAAUAUCUGAAAACUGACCUGCAUCAGUGACUUGGUACAUAUGCCAGAAAAAGCUUUGUUUACAAUGUUGUGCUCAUCAUUAUUGUUAUCAUUUUAAAACCAAACCAAGCCAAACAGGCUUCUUCCUCUCCUCAGCAGAACUAUGCAAAAGACCUCCUUGUUCUAGACAUACUCACUAGAAUAUGCCAAUACAAGUGCUCUACUUUCAACUCAAGUAUGGUGCCUUGCAAUGUAGUGCCUUGUUAUACUCCAGAAUAUUUUAAAAAGUUGUACCUAAGAUUUGCUAACAGUAGUAAUGAGUGCUGGGACAGUACGUGAAUAGGGGGAGGAUCACUGGGUUAAAAACCACAAAGGCAAAGAUGUAAAGUCAAUAUAUCAGAGCAACUCACUUAAGCAACUCACGUAAUGAGCUUCUUUAAUUCCGAAGCCAACACUUUAAUGUUAGCUAGAGAUUUUGUAUUUAUGUAGUCACACAGCAGAGGAUUUAAGUGACACCAUAUCAGCUAGUCAUGUUUCACACCAAGCAAUGGAGCUAUACAUGUGACUGGAGAAGAAAUUUUUGACUAAAUAAUGUUAUGGAAAUCUUGUAAACCAAAGGUGAUGGUAGUUUUGCCUUCUAGUUGAAGCAGCUGAAUGAUUUCUUAACUGUUUGCAUAUGAUGUCACUUUCAUUCUGGGGUACUAUAAUGCCAUUGCAGAAUAAUGGUCCAAAAUAUUCAAGCUUUCAAUGAAGCCCUUUGAUUUUUCAGAACAUUUCCACAGAUGGUGAGUGUGCAUUUUAGUGCUUAUAAGAAAGCAGAAUACCAGCUCAACUCUAAUGUCUGUUGGAGUAGGUAGUCAGAUUUCCAUCAGUGAUGCAAAUAGUGAGUUAUCUGUAUGUUAAUGGCAGGGGAGUCCCCAUCCGUGAGGCAAUGUAUACGUACGAAGUUAUAAAUCAGUAUCUUCAGACCUUAAUAGUUCACCCUAGAGUGGAUAAGUUGCAGGCUGAGCAGGGCUAAACGCUGGCUUCUGACAGGCAUUGUUUUGUUCCGAGUCAGUUGCUUGGGGCUGUGGUGACAGCUGCUGACUUUGCAAAUAGCGGGGCUGGUUGGGGAUGUCAGAAUAUCAUCUCUUCAUUGUUGGCCUUGCUGCUGAAGAGUAUCGCCCUGAUAAAUCUUAUAAUGGAAGUGUGCUUACCUCAUCCUCUACAGUCACAGCUAAAAGGUUUGAUUAAAACAGCUGAUGACCUUGCCAGUGGGACUCAUGUGAGUGUUCAUGCAAGCUCUUUUGUUAGCAGGGCUCUGCAAGUGAUAACCUGCAAGGGAUGGGUUAUGAGGAGACACCAGAAGUGGUGGCAAUUUCAUCCUACACACCUAGAUCUGAAAGAGGAUAUGCAUAUGCAGAAAAGUUUGUUCUUACUCAUCCUGCUUCAAUUUAUAUUGGUAUAACUAAAAGAAUACAACUUCCUCUUCCCUGAACACAACUAUUACCAGUACAAUUUUGUGUCUCAGCUGUAAGUUUUACUAGAAUAAGGAAUCUUAAUCUCUGUGCUAGGAGGUCUGUGUUCAUCUAACAGUUUUGCUCAACACAUCGCACCCUUUACUGAAUUUGUUUUGUGGCUAGAAAAAAACAAGACUUAAAAAGCUAUGUAGGCAAGUAUUCAUGUGAUUUCCCAACAGUGUUGCUCUUGGUAGGUAAAUAAUUUAAAAUGUUAAAUAAGAAUAUCUUUUGAAUAGUGUAGACUGCUCAUAAUAAAUGUAGUAGAAUAAAUAGAACAUUAUUAUUGUUAUUAUUAUUGUUUUUACCUUGGCUACAAAUAUUUAAAAGCUGUCAAUCUUUUGUCAAUGUUGCAUUGGUUUUAUUUCUGGCCUCCAACUUGCAAAGAGAGACUCAGAAAAGGAAGUGAAAAUAUUUUACAACUUGAGCUAGUUUUAGUUUCUAGCAGACUUGUUGCAGUAUCUGUACAGGAGCCUGCAGAGAACUUAAGUAUUCUGAAAAGGAAAGUUUCAUGCCUGCUUAAAUGCUGUUGUAGGUUUACUUGUUUAACAUCAGCAAAUGGCAUCCCAAGGCUCAUGACUAAGAGCAUGCUGCCCUUCAGAAUGAGUGUAAUUUACAGCAUUUCUGUAUACUAUUUGAUUCAUUAACACAUAUAUGCAUAUUUGCUGUUCAGAGUACCUUGUAAAACUGGCACAACAUAGAUAUAUUGCAUAGCUGUUGCUGAAAAGAAUAUACCUCUUAGGGCUAGAAGGGGGCUUCAGAAGCAUUUCAGUAUAAAGAGACUAGUUCAGAAUCACAACAUCUCAUUUCAAAGGAAAUUCCCUCAUGAAGACUUUUGCUGUCUUUGUACCACUAAUUUAAAUUAAUUCCUCAGCAAUGAAUCAAAGGUUAUAAAGGUAACAAUAAAAUGAAGAAGAAGCUGUAUUUUACAUGUUUGUCAGGUGAGAUAAAAAAUAGAAAUACUAUGAUGAUGAGAUUAAUAUGGCUAGGUGUGGAUGGGGUUUAUAGUAUCCUAGUCCGUGCAAGGUGAGGGGAUUUAGAGGGAAUAAGCAGCUACCAGCAGGUGCUGUUUGUGUUUAUUAUUAUUAUUAUUGUUGUUAUUGUUAUUAUUUGUGAUUGUGGGUCUGGUAGGUGAAGAAAAACACACACAUGGCAUAGUUUCUCUGAUAUUAGAAGUUGGGUGCUGACUUGCACCUGCCUGUCCUUCUGCACUUUUGGUUACAGUGAUAGUGUCUGCUGGAUGAAACAAAUUAUGUACAUGUUUCUCUACAGUCUUUAGAGUACUAAUUACAACUGCUUAUGCUUAUCUGCUGUUGUCCACACUGGUGAGCAUUACUAAUGUGACUAAUAUUCCCCAAAGCAGUAUGUACGGGACUUUUGCUCUGGACUACAGAAAGAGGCUGUUCUGAGGGUGUCUGGGGUCUCUGAUGGAGCAAUUUUCAACAAGACAUUUUUUGAAAGUAUUGACAAUUCACAUAAUAUAGGUCCAGUAUUUGACUUUGGUUUUGCUUCUUGCCAACAGUUUUCUUCUGUAUGCCCACAAAGGGACGUCAUUCAUCCUGGGGAGGUGCAAGGACAGGACGAAAAGUGAAAAUAGUAGUGCCAAGGACAGAAAAAGGAUAGGAAACUGAAACUCUGUUAAGACAUUUUGAAACUUCAAAACACAGUCAAAUAUUUAGCUUCUAAAUCCAUUAUUUGUCCCCACCUUUCUUUAGUCAAAUUGGUAAGUUUCCAGUGUGUUCCUCACCAUACUAUAUGAACACUAGGGCCAAGUUUCUAAUGAGUGAGGAAGUGUCAUAGGCAGCAAGUCUUUAAUCUGGGCUAAUUGUCAGAGAAGCAGCAAAGCUAAUUCUUAUUACUAACUCCAGGAGCAGCUUUACUUUAUUAUGUUCCUGAAAAAGAGAUACCUGGAGACUAGUUAAGGUCAGAUUUAAGUGUUUAAGUGCUGUAUUGACUGAGGAGACUUUAGAAGGUGGUAUAUU